GGGGGUGUAACUCAGUGGUUAGAGUUUCUGCUUCUAAUGCUGAAAGUCCUGGGUUCAAAUCCCAGCACCUCCA
rnacentral:tRNA from 1 species